rnacentral:lncRNA from 1 species
UCCGUCGCGGACGCAUCCCUCGUGCAAUCAUCGUCGUCUUUGCGUCCUCCUCUCUCCCUCACUCUGCUCCUUCUCUCUCUCUCUUUCUCUCUCUAUCUUCGCUUCACUUACUCACUUACUCUUUAUUACCCCCACUCCACAAUUCGCUUACUCUGUUUCUCUCUAGCUUUCUCCUCCCCCCCACUCUCUAACUCCCCCUCUCUCGUUCUCUAUCUUUCUCUUCUGUUUCUUUCUUACUUAUUCGCUCACUUACUCUUUCUCACGCAUCUACACGUACGCGGGUUCGGGUUCGAGCGAAUCAAAAUAACGAAGCUGUAUGCGAUGAUGAUCGGCGGCAACGAAAUAUAAGAGAAAAGAAAUAUGUAUAUACGAGAGAGGAAAGGGUGGUGGUAAACUCGCUAAAACAUCGGAUCUUCUGGUGCUCGCAAUUAUAUCAGAAUAUAGUCGUACCGAUGCACGCGAGAUUCCUCGUCCCGCCUCUUUCCACACCGAUGCUGGAUAUCAGUGAUUUAAAUUAUGUGUGAAUCGUCCGGUUUGUGGAUUUUUCGGUCUCGCCCUCGAAUUUCUUGUCUUUUGUUUUCGCCGAGAAAACAAUUCGAUUAACCUGUGUCUUUUUCGCCAACCUGUGUCAUUGGGCCUCCUACCACGCCUAACGGUUCGUCAUUCAAAUUCUAAUGUCUAUUCAGUGAAUAUCGCGCGUUUCGGCAGUUUUCAUUACGUCGGUUAAUCGGUAGGAAACCUCAAACGCGAAAAUAUGUAACACGAUGAACACAGAGAAAGAACAAAAUCAAAAGUGUGUUGUAUGGUUAAGGAACCGAUGAAUUUUGUUCAAGUGGCUGACUGUUAUGUGUAAACACGGCGAACAAGUAAUCGUUCGUUGUAUUCCGCGAAACACCGACUGAAGUACCACCUUCGACUGUGAUAUAUCGUGACUGUGAAAUACCCGGUUGAAGAAUGCAACCUCAGGCGGGUUUCGAUCGAUGAAAAGUAGAAUUCUCUGCCGGCUAUUAUGUUCACGAGGUUCAAGAUGCCGGUGACUGGCGAUGGGGCUUUCAUUAACCGCGGUGCGCUCCCUGAGGAGGAUUCGUCGGUGUAACAGGAAAUGUGACAUGCUGUCGUUAACCAACUAUGAACUCCAGAAAGCACGCAUCAGCGAAAAGGUCGUCAUAAGUAUUCAAAAUGAUUUCCCUCCGUUUGGCUGCACAUUGCGGCGUGUCUGACUAUGCUUGCUUGCACAUCCCAGGGCAUAUUGACAUCGAAGGUGGCUACGGCAGCCUGGAUACUGGUGACGCGCCAUCAACGAGACCGCUGAAGAGGGUAUGCAGUUGACGCAUCCCUCGGUCCCCUAAAUCCUGGAAUAAAUCGUCCAGAAGUUAAAGGAAUUGUCUCAUCAGCGCGCGUGCGUACGUGCGUGCGUGUGUGCGCCAGUUGUGUUCGCUGGUUGCAUGCGAAGAGGGCGAGGAAGAGCCUGUAAAGAGUACGGACUUCGAAGAGAGAUGUUCCGACCGGACACGUGACAUGUGAGCCGUAUAACGAGCAGAGAACAAAAAUAUUUCCAGACAUACGCAGGGAUAGAAACGAUAGAGCACGCGCAAGAGAGAGAGAGAGAGAGAAGGAGAACGGGAGGAAGAAAGGGGGAGGGAGAGGGAGGAAGCAGGACAAAAGGAGGAGGGAGAAGGAAAAUAGAAAAGGAAGUACUUUUUCGCUGGAAAAGAAGCCAACUCGAAGAGCAAAUGAGAAAACGAAGCCUGAAGGGUAUUGCUUCUACGAGAACCGAAAUACGUUUAAAACACGAGCACAAAAAGAGGAGGAGGAUGAGUUAAAAGCUCGAGAACGAGCCUGACAGGGAGGGACAGCCUCAAAAGAAUUCUAAACUGAUAAAACUAGCU